UGUGGCCUACGGGGGGCAGCAGUGGGGAAUAUUGGGCAAUGGACGCAAGUCUGACCCAGCAACGCCGCGUGAAGGAAGAAGGCUUUCGGGUUGUAAACUUCUUUUAAGGGGGAAGAGCAGAAGACGGUACCCCUUGAAUAAGCCACGGCUAACUACGUGCCAGCAGCCGCGGUAAUACGUAGGUGGCAAGCGUUGUCCGGAUUUACUGGGUGUAAAGGGCGUGAAGCCGGAGAGACAAGUCAGAUGGGAACUCCACGGGAUGAACCCGUGAA
rnacentral:rRNA from 1 species